UACAGAGGGUGCGAGCGUUAAUCGGAAUUACUGGGCGUAAAGCGCACGUAGGCGGCUUGGUAUGUCGGGUGUGAAAUCCCCGGGCUCAACCUGGGAACUGCAUCCGAAACUGCCUUGCUCGAGUAUGGGAGAGGGAAGUGGAAUUUCCGGUGUAGCGGUGAAAUGCGCAGAUAUCAGGAAGAACACCAAUGGCGAAAGCAGCUCUCUGGGACGGUACUGACGCUGAGACGCGAAAGCGUGGGGAGCGAACAGG
rnacentral:rRNA from 1 species